GAGUUUGAUCAUGGCUCAGGAUGAACGCCGGCGGUGUGCCUAAUACAUGCAAGUCGUACGCACUGGCCCAACUGGUUGAUGGUGCUUGCACCUGAUCGACGAUGGAUCACCAGUGAGUGGCGGACGGGUGAGUAACACGUAGGUAACCUGCCCUGUACAGGGGGAUAACAAUCAGAAAUGACUGCUAAUACCGCAUAAGACCACAGCACCGCAUGGUGCAGGGGUAAAAACUCCGGUGGUACAGGAUGGACCCGCGUCUGAUUAGCUGGUUGGUGAGGUAACGGCUCACCAAGGCGACGAUCAGUAGCCGGCUUGAGAGAGUGAACGGCCACAUUGGGACUGAGACACGGCCCAAACUCCUACGGGAGGCAGCAGUGGGGAAUAUUGCACAAUGGGGAAACCCUGAUGCAGCAACGCCGCGUGAGUGAAGAGUAUUUCGGUAUGUAAAGCUCUAUCAGCAGGGAAGAAAGUGACGGUACCUGACUAAGAAGCCCCGG
rnacentral:rRNA from 1 species